CCCUAGUCUGGGUGACCAAAUGCGACCCUGUCUCAGGAACAAAAAAUAAAGCAAAGUACAAAAAGACCUGGCCUGGGCACUCCGAAUUCAGGAAAACCAUUUCAGGUGUCACACAACAGAUCCAACCUCAGUGAUCUAACCCCCAACUUCUUCCCACAUUAGCCACCUUCUAAAGCGAUUUGAUUUUCUCUGAAUGAAAAUUCAUUUGCCACCUGCAGAGUGACGAGGAACCCGGCUCCGAAACUUCAAAGGCUCCCUCUGCCCAGACCCCAGGGCUUGCAGGUGCCUUCCCUUCACAGGAGGGAGCAGUGACAGCCUCACUCCAGCUGUGUUGGUGCCAUCCCUUGGGAAAGCAGGAGGUUUCAGGAACGGGAAUCGUUGCUGGGAACAGGUGUUUAGGCCAAAGAAUUCCAAAGAGGCUGGCAUUGCUGCCUGCCCGGAUAGUGGACGGAAACAGGUGGAUGAAGGCCAGGUCGCCAGCGGGGAUUAAGACUCAUGAGAUCAAAGCCCAGGAAAGAGGGACUCUACCCGGCCAACCCUCAGCUCGGCUCAGCUCAGCAGCUCGCUAACUGUGAAACUCGGACGGGCAUCCUGUGAUCACUCCAACACUUUAAAUUCAUCAAAGCGCAGAGCGCUGUCUGGCCGCUGCCCAUGGCUCUGUUGUUCUGAGGGGCAAGGCCACAGUGACCUACAGCAGGGAAGAGACAAACACGGAUCUGGUGCAGAGAUUAUUCAGGUUAUGACAGGCAAGCAAGAAAGCAAGAGCGUUUCCUGCAGGGCCACACCCGAUCCCUUUUGAGCCUGGGCUUCGCUCCCAAAUGAGGUCAGCAGGGGCAGCUGAUUGUUUUUAUUUUACAGGUACGGGACUCCCUCUGGGGUCUGACUGCCACACUCAGACACAGAAGGGGCAGCAGAGGCAGGGUUUCCAGAGACAGACCUCCUCAGUCAAAUGCUGGCCACUUACCAGUCGGUAGCCUUGGAAACGUUAUUUUGCCCCUUUAUGCCUCAGUUUCCUCAGAUGUAAAUGGAGAUAAUAAAUGCACCUAUCUUGAGGAAUAAAUAAAAUCACCCACAGGCCAGCUGUGACGGCUCAUGAUUGUCAUCUCAAUGCUCUGGGAGGCUGAGGAGGGAGGAUCUUUUGAGGUCAAGAG
rnacentral:lncRNA from 1 species